CUGACAUUUUUCUCACGGUCUCUCUGAUCUCCCACUCAGGAUCUCAGCCAGGGGCUACAGUGACUCCUGCCCAAACCCGACUUCCUGAUGAGUUUCAUAUGAAAUGAAGAGAAGACGGGGCAGAGGGAGUGGGGGUAACAGCACAGCUGUGGAGACUCAAAGGCACAACCCAAGAAGAACUAAGGAAGAAAACACUAUCUGUUCACAGCAGCAGAUGCCCUCUCCGGGACUCUUGAUCAUGCUUAGAUCCAGGAGCCCCAGUCUGCUCCUCUGCAUGGUUCUGUGGCUCAGCCAGCCGGGGACUGCCCCUUUGCUUCAGGCUCCCCACCACUAAGGUGAGGUCAUCACGGGGGCUUCAGAGGCCCCUCAGCUGCAGCAUUCCCUGGCUCUCCUCCCCUGGUAGCUGGGAGUUGUGCCCAUCUGUUCCUGUGGAAGGCGGCUGCAGGGGGAGUCACCCUGGAGGGGCACAACUGAGAGGCGGUAAGAGAAUUGAGUUAAAUUGCACCCCCACCCUUUGGCUGCAGACUAUGUAGGCGAGAGAAACAAAGGGGAAGUGGAGGCGGCGUCUCUCAGCCCUUUCCCUGAAGGCUCCCACUGAGUUUGCUCCUUCUGAAGUCGGUCCUGGCUGCCCUCCCGAUGCUCAGCGCUCACCCACACCGGCCUUCCUCUUCAACAACGCCUGCCAGAAGACUCAUUACUCUGCUUCUAAUAUGUGACUGGCCAGGGGCCAGGAUCUGGCUACCAACUGACUGAUUAACCGCUUAGCCAGAGCGACGGCUUCCCCGUCCACAAGCAGCAGCUAGCAGCUCCUCUCUGCCCCGUGGGUUGCAAAGGAGCCUCCUGGCCCGUCUUGAUCUGGGCAUGGCUAGGGGCUGCUCUGGCUGUGGGCUUCAAAGUCUUCUUGGCUCCAUUCUCUGAGUGUCACCACUUUCCUACUUGUUCUUUCCCUUCCUCUUCUUUCUCUAUUCAUCUUCAAUUCCUUCUAUUGUUAUUUCUCCCCAUCCCACCCGUCAAUCCAUUGUUCACAUCUAUACAUAGACACACUUCAUAUCACACAGCUCUAAAAUAUCCUCUUUAACCCCGUGUUCUCUUCUAGCUAUUGCUCUAGUUUUCUCUCUCUCAUCAAUAAAACUUCUUGGAACAAUUGUCUUCACAUAUUAUUUUCCAUUCCUAUCUUCCAUUUGUUUUUUUACGUACUACAACUUGCCUUCUAUCCACACUGCUCCACCCAAACUGCCCUUAGAAAGGACCCCAUGCCCGCCAUGUUGUUAAUCCAAUACUCAUUUCAGUCUUUAUGUACUUGACUUCUCAGCAGAAUUUGAUAGAGACACCUUCUCGGUCCUGAAACGGUCUCAUCGCUUGUCUCCUGUGGCAUCCCAGACUUUCUUUUCUCCCUAGCUCCUUCUUGGCUGCUUUUGUCAGCUUCCCCUCUUCUAUUUGACCCAUAAAUGUGGCAAUUUAUCUGCACUCAGCUCUGACCCUCUUUUCGUUUCUCCCUGCCUUCUCUUCCUAAAAUUUAGAGCCCAAAUGAUAUCAUUAUAGAGAAAUGAAGUUGCUUUUUCAAGAAAAUCUCUGUAGGGACUGAGAUUCAUCCCUAAAGAAAAAGCAAACAUAAAUCUUAAUUUCAAACUGUGAUAACUGCUUUGAAGGAAAAAUUUAAAUAGAGAGUCUAAUGGAGAGCCUAAUUCACACUGAUUUUUACUGGGGGAGGGGAAGGGUAGGCCUCUCUUAGGAAGUGACAUUUAAGCUGAGACCUGAAGGAUGACG
rnacentral:lncRNA from 1 species